UUAAGUAUUGUUCCGUGAGUAUCGUAUCGUUCUCUACACAACCUUUUUUUUUUUUGGAUUUUCUAAAUUUUGGGAUUUGGUAAAGUAAUCCGAGUACAUAGAAGAAUAUAAACAGAAAACAACAUGGAGAAUGAUUGGCUGAUCACUCUGCUGGUGGGCUGCAUUGUUGGUUAUUUAAUUGGCAUUAAUAUUUGAGCUUCCAGCAAGUCGAGAAAAUAUAUGAAAAAUUGACAUGAGUUAAGAAAUUUCUCAGAGGGGAGGCGACCUUGUUUAUACCCACAUUAUCUAGUGUAAGACCAAUUUUUUUCUCCACUAGAUAUUCAUGAUGAGUCACAUAAUAUCAUAUGGCCUGGGUUUAAUAACGGGCUUGAUGCUGUGCAAACGUUGUGGUCCACCCUAACCAGGUUACAAAAUUACCGAUUGAAGAAACUAAAUCAUUUCCUAUCAAGACAUAUUAAUCAAAUAUGUAUAAACUAGAUAAAGUGCAAAAAUAUUCAAAAUAUGUAGUAUAUAA